CCUACGGGUGGCAGCAGUGGGGAAUAUUGCACAAUGGGGGAAACCCUGAUGCAGCGACGCCGCGUGAGUGAAGAAGUAAUUCGUUAUGUAAAGCUCUAUCAGCAGGGAAGAAAAUGACGGUACCGGAGGAAGAAGCCCCGGCUAACUACGUGCCAGCAGCCGCGGUAAUACGUAGGGGGCAAGCGUUAUCCGGAUUUACUGGGUGGAAAGGGAGCGUAGACGGUAGGGCAAGUCUGGAGUGAAGGGCGGGGGCUCAACCCCCGGACUGCUCUGGAAACUGUACGGCUGGAGUGCAGGAGAGGUAAGUGGAAUUCCUGGUGUAGCGGUGAAAUGCGUAGAUAUUAGGAGGAACACCAGUGGCGAAGGCGGCUUACUGGACUGUUACUGACGUUGAGGCUCGAAAGCGUGGGGAGCAAACAGGAUUAGAUACCCCUGUAGUC
rnacentral:rRNA from 1 species